AUUUAUGUGGCGGCUGCGCAUAAUGCGCCAUCUUUAAAAUUUGUUUUGGCGGGAAAAUUUACAUCAGCUGUUGAUUGUGUCGAAUACCGGAAUUUUUCUUACGAUAUCGUUAAGAACCCGUUUUCGUGACAAGUGAGGUGCUAAGUGUAAAAUAAGGUUAACAUAAUGCCUAAAAGAUCUGUAUAUGAUUCCGAUCUUGUUGAGCCUGCAGUGCAGGAUGUAAAAACUGGCAAACUCUCACUAAGGGCAGCUGCAAAAAAAUAUGGCGUGCCAAAAUCUACCAUUGAAUUUAAAAUGAAAAACCCGGGACACAAAGAUACAUGUGGGCCGCCUCCGAUACUUACAGCAAAAGAGGAAUAUGUGCUGGUCGAAUGGAUAGUGGAACUUGCCAAACGUGGGUUUCCACGUAAAAAGGAAGAUAUCCUUAAUAGCGUCCAAAAAUU